rnacentral:rRNA from 2 species
UGAGGAAUAUUGGUCAAUGGACGAGAGUCUGAACCAGCCAAGUAGCGUGAAGGAUGACUGCCCUAUGGGUUGUAAACUUCUUUUAUACGGGAAUAAAGUUAGCCACGUGUGGCUUUUUGUAUGUACCGUAUGAAUAAGGAUCGGCUAACUCCGUGCCAGCAGCCGCGGUAAUACGGAGGAUCCGAGCGUUAUCCGGAUUUAUUGGGUUUAAAGGGAGCGUAGGCGGGUUGUUAAGUCAGUUGUGAAAGUUUGCGGCUCAACCGUAAAAUUGCAGUUGAUACUGGCGACCUUGAGUGCAACAGAGGUAGGCGGAAUUCGUGGUGUAGCGGUGAAAUGCUUAGAUAUCACGAAGAACUCCGAUUGCGAAGGCAGCUUACUGGAUUGUAACUGACGCUGAUGCUCGAAAGUGUGGGUAUCAAACAGGAUUAGAUACCCUGGUAGUCCACACAGUAAACGAUGAAUACUCGCUGUUGGCGAUAUACGGUCAGCGGCCAAGCGAAAGCAUUAAGUAUUCCACCUGGGGAGUACGCCGGCAACGGUGAAACUCAAAGGAAUUGACAGGGGCCCGCACAAGCGGAGGAACAUGUGGUUUAAUUCGAUGAUACGCGAGGAACCUUACCCGGGCUUAAAUUGCAACUGACUGAACCGGAAACGGUUCUUUCUUCGGACAGUUGUGAAGGUGCUGCAUGGUUGUCGUCAGCUCGUGCCGUGAGGUGUCGGCUUAAGUGCCAUAACGAGCGCAACCCUUAUCGAUAGUUACUAGCAGGUCAUGCUGAGGACUCUAUUGAGACUGCCGUCGUAAGAUGUGAGGAAGGUGGGGAUGACGUCAAAUCAGCACGGCCCUUACGUCCGGGGCUACACACGUGUUACAAUGGGGGGUACAGAAGGCAGCUACACGGCGACGUGGUGCUAAUCCCGAAAGCCUCUCUCAGUUCGGAUUGGAGUCUGCAACCCGACUCCAUGAAGCUGGAUUCGCUAGUAAUCGCGCAUCAGCCACGGCGCGGUGAAUACGUUCCC